rnacentral:rRNA from 1 species
CUUGAGAGCGGCGUACGGGUGCGGAACACGUGUGCAACCUGCCUUUAUCAGGGGGAUAGCCUUUCGAAAGGAAGAUUAAUACCCCAUAAUAUAUUUGUCGGCAUCGAUGGAUAUUGAAAACUCCGGUGGAUAGAGAUGGGCACGCGCAAGAUUAGAUAGUUGGUGAGGUAACGGCUCACCAAGUCUGCGAUCUUUAGGGGGCCUGAGAGGGUGAUCCCCCACACUGGUACUGAGACACGGACCAGACUCCUACGGGAGGCAGCAGUGAGGAAUAUUGGACAAUGGGUGCGAGCCUGAUCCAGCCAUCCCGCGUGAAGGACGACGGCCCUAUGGGUGUAAACUUCUUUGUAUAGGGAUAAACCUAGAUACGUGUAUCUAGCUGAAGGUACUAUACGAAUAAGCACCGGCUAACUCCGUGCCAGCAGCCGCGGUAAUACGGAGGGUGCAAGCGUUAUCCGGAUUUAUUGGGUUUAAAGGGUCCGUAGGCGGAUCUGUAAGUCAGUGGUGAAAUCUCACAGCUUAACUGUGAAACUGCCAUUGAUACUGCAGGUCUUGAGUGUUGUUGAAGUAGCUGGAAUAAGUAGUGUAGCGGUGAAAUGCAUAGAUAUUACUUAGAACACCAAUUGCGAAGGCAGGUUACUAAGCAACAACUGACGCUGAUGGACGAAAGCGUGGGGAGCGAACAGGAUUAGAUACCCUGGUAGUCCACGCCGUAAACGAUGCUAACUCGUUUUUGGAGCGCAAGCUUCAGAGACUAAGCGAAAGUGAUAAGUUAGCCACCUGGGGAGUACGAACGCAAGUUUGAAACUCAAAGGAAUUGACGGGGGCCCGCACAAGCGGUGGAUUAUGUGGUUUAAUUCGAUGAUACGCGAGGAACCUUACCAAGGCUUAAAUGGGAAAUGACAGGUUUAGAAAUAGACUUUUCUUCGGACAUUUUUCAAGGUGCUGCAUGGUUGUCGUCAGCUCGUGCCGUGAGGUGUUAGGUUAAGUCCUGCAACGAGCGCAACCCCUGUCACUAGUUGCCAUCAUUAAGUUGGGGACUCUAGUGAGACUGCCUACGCAAGUAGAGAGGAAGGUGGGGAUGACGUCAAAUCAUCACGGCCCUUACGCCUUGGGCCACACACGUAAUACAAUGGCCGGUACAGAGGGCAGCUACACUGCGAAGUGAUGCAAAUCUCGAAAGCCGGUCUCAGUUCGGAUUGGAGUCUGCAACUCGACUCUAUGAAGCUGGAAUCGCUAGUAAUCGCGCAUCAGCCAUGGCGCGGUGAAUACGUUCCCGGGCCUUGUACACACCGCCCGUCAAGCCAUGGAAGUCUGGGGU